GCCGGGGAGAUAGCGGUGCCCUGUACCUGCAACCCGCUACAGCAGGGGUGAUGCCAAUCUGAGGACUUCUUAUUGCAAAGCUGCCUUUUAUAAGUGGCGUUGACGUUUGGGUCUCAUGCGACGGGAAUCUAUGAACCGUGUCAGGCCAGGAAUGGAGCAGCACUAAGUAGAACCUUCCGGGUGUUGUGAGGUAGCCUGGACUGAGUUAACUGUAAGAGUAACGUUUGUGGUGGAUUUUCGAGGUGCGGCG
rnacentral:SRP_RNA from 1 species